UACGUAGGUGGCAAGCGUUAUCCGGAUUUAUUGGGCGUAAAGGGAACGCAGGCGGUCUUUUAAGUCUAAUGUGAAAGCCUUCGGCUUAACCGGAGUAGUGCAUUGGAAACUGGGAGACUUGAGUGCAGAAGAGGAGAGUGGAACUCCAUGUGUAGCGGUGAAAUGCGUAGAUAUAUGGAAGAACACCAGUGGCGAAAGCGGCUCUCUGGUCUGUAACUGACGCUGAGGUUCGAAAGCGUGGGUAGCAAACAGG
rnacentral:rRNA from 1 species